rnacentral:rRNA from 1 species
GACGAACGCUGGCGGCGUGCUUAACACAUGCAAGUCGAACGGAAAGGCCCUGCUUUUGUGGGGUGCUCGAGGUGCGAACGGGUGAGUAACACGUGAGUAACCUGCCCUUGACUUUGGGAUAACUUCAGGAAACUGGGGCUAAUACCGGAUAGGAGCUCCUGCUGCAUGGUGGGGGUUGGAAAGUUUCGGCGGUUGGGGUUGGACUCGCGGCUUAUCAGCUUGUUGGUGGGGUAGUGGCUUACCAAGGCUUUGACGGGUAGCCGGCCUGAGAGGGUGACCGGCCACACUGGGACUGAGAUACGGCACAGACUCCUACGGGAGGCAGCAGUGGGGAAUAUUGCACAAUGGGCGGAAGCCUGAUGCAGCAACGCCGCGUGCGGGAUGAGGGCCUUCGGGUUGUAAACCGCUUUCGCCUGUGACGAAGCGUGAGUGACGGUAAUGGGUAAAGAAGCACCGGCUAACUACGUG